GCAUUGGUAGUUCAGUGGUAGAAUUCUCGCCUUUCAUGCAGGAGACCCAGGUUUAAUUCUCAGGCAAUGCA
rnacentral:tRNA from 1 species